AAUACAGAGCUCUUUCUGUCUAAGCCUCGCGUUUCAUUUGGCCUUCUUUGAUUCUUUGAUUUGUGGGUUUUCUUUUUAUUCCCUUGCUUUGGUUUGAUUUUUAUACUUAUUUAUUAUUUUACAAGAGUUAGUGUGUGUCUAUCUAUGGAUUUCGUUAAAAUUUUGUUUGGACAUUUCCUUAUUAUUGUCAUGAUCCAAUUCUGGGUUCUUUUUCUUCUUUGUCGGUUGCCAGUGUUUGAGGUCGACUCUUUUGCAUAAUUAAAUUUCAAAUUGCAAGGAAAGUGAUAUAAGGUAACCCCAUAAUCUUUUAUUUUAUUUUAUUUUAUUUUAUUUUAUUUUUUACAGUUCCUCUUGUUUGUUAAAAAAAAUUGAGCCAAAAACAUAUAGAUUUGAUAACUUGAGAGUUCAGUGCAAUAUUUCAAAGCAUAUUUGAUUUUGGUUUGAACUCCUCCAGAAAAGUUGUUGUGCUUUGUCUUUUGUUUAGUGACUUGGCUUGGCCCUUGAAAUUGGGCACUUUUUUAUCUAUAUAUAUUUUUCUUAUAUUUACCACUAUUAUAUAGUGAUCAUCUGC
rnacentral:lncRNA from 1 species